rnacentral:rRNA from 1 species
CGGGGUUAACUCGGAGGAAGGUGGGGAUGACGUCAAAUCAUCAUGCCCCUUAUGUCCAGGGCUUCACACAUGCUACAAUGGUCGGUACAACGCGCUGCGAGCCUGUGAGGGUGAGCGAAUCGCUGAAAGCCGGCCUCAGUUCGGAUUGGGGUCUGCAACUCGACCCCAUGAAGUCGGAGUCGCUAGUAAUCGCAGAUCAGCAACGCUGCGGUGAAUACGUUCCCGGGCCUUGUACACACCGCCCGUCACGUCAUGAAAGUUGGUAACACCCGAAGCCAGUGGCCUAACCCUUGUGGGGGAGCUGUCGAAGGUGGGAUCGGCGAUUGGGACGAAGUCGUAACAAGGUAGCCGUACCGGAAGGUGCGGCUGGAUCACCUCCUUUCUAAGGAG